rnacentral:rRNA from 1 species
UACAGAGGUCUCAAGCGUUGUUCGGAUUCAUUGGGCGUAAAGGGUGCGUAGGUGGCGCUGUAAGUCAGGUGUGAAAUUUCGGAGCUUAACUCCGAAACUGCAUUUGAUACUGCGGUGCUUGAGGACUGGAGAGGAGACUGGAAUUUACGGUGUAGCAGUGGAAUGCGUAGAGAUCGUAAGGAAGACCAGUGGCGAAGGCGGGUCUCUGGACAGUUCCUGACACUGAGGCACGAAGGCCAGGGGAGCAAACGGG